rnacentral:misc_RNA from 1 species
AACGCACAUUGCGCCCGGCAGUAUUCUGCCGGGCAUGCCUGUCCGAGCGUCAUUUCAACCCUCAAGCCCCCCCGGGGCUUGGUGUUGGGGAUCGGCCCGCCUCCACCGGAGGGCCGGCCCCGAAAUCUAGUGGCGGUCUCGCCGCAGCCUCCUCUGCGUAGUAGCAACACCUCGCACCGGAGCGCGGCGCGGCCACGCCGUUAAACCCCCCAACUUCUGAAGGUUGACCUCGGAUCAGGUAGGAAUACCCGCUGAACUUAA